AUACCCGCUGAACUUAAGCAUAUCAAUAAGCGGAGGAAAAGAAACCAACAGGGAUUGCCUCAGUAACGGCGAGUGAAGCGGCAACAGCUCAAAUUUGAAACCUGGCGCUUGCGUCCGGAUUGUAAUUUGCAGAGGAUGCUUCUGGGCAGCGGCCGCUCUAAGUUCCUUGGAACAGGACGUCAUAGAGGGUGAGAAUCCCGUAUGUGACCGGCGCGCACCCUCCACGUAGCUCCUUCGACGAGUCGAGUUGUUUGGGAAUGCAGCUCUAAAUGGGUGGUAAAUUCCAUCUAAAGCUAAAUAUUGGCCCGAGACCGAUAGCGCACAAGUAGAGUGAUCGAAAGAUGAAAAGCACUUUGGAAAGAGAGUUAAAAAGCACGUGAAAUUGUUGAAAGGGAAGCGCUUCCCACCAGACUCCGCGGCGGUGUUCCGCCGGCCUUCUGGCCGGUCUACUCGCCGCCGUGGGGCCAGCAUCGUCUGGGGCCGUCGGAUAAGACCGUAGGAAUGUAGCUCAUUGAGUGUUAUAGCCUGCGGUGAUGCGACGCGCCCCGGGCGAGGUCCGCGCUUCGGCAAGGAUGCUGGCGUAAUGGUGGGCAGCGGCCCGUCUUGAAACACGGACCAAGGAGUCUAACAUCUAUGCGAGUGUUCGGGUGUCAAACCCCUACGCGUAAUGAAAGUGAACGGAGGUGGGAGCUUCGGCGCACCAUCGACCGAUCCUGAUGUCCUCGGAUGGAUUUGAGUAAGAGCAUAGCUGUUGGGACCCGAAAGAUGGUGAACUAUGCCUGAAUAGGGUGAAGCCAGAGGAAACUCUGGUGGAGACUCGCAGCGGUUCUGACGUGCAAAUCGAUCGUCAAAUUUGGGCAUAGGGGCGAAAGACUAAUCGAACCAUCUAGUAGCUGGUUCCUGCCGAAGUU
rnacentral:rRNA from 1 species